rnacentral:rRNA from 1 species
UACGUAGGGGGCGAGCGUUGUCCGGAUUUAUUGGGCGUAAAGAGCGUGUAGGCGGCCAGGUAGGUCUGCUGUGAAAACUCGAGGCUCAACCUCGAGACGUCGGCGGAAACCAUCUGGCUAGAGUCCGGAAGAGGGAGAGUGGAAUUCCGUGGUGUAGCGGUGAAAUGCGCAGAUAUCAGGAAGAACACCCGUGGCGAAGGCGGCUCUCUGGGACGGUACUGACGCUGAGACGCGAAAGCGUGGGGAGCGAACAGG